rnacentral:rRNA from 1 species
GACGAACGCUGGCGGCGUGCCUAAUACAUGCAAGUAGAACGCUGAAGAGAGGAGCUUGCUCUUCUUGGAUGAGUUGCGAACGGGUGAGUAACGCGUAGGUAACCUGCCUUGUAGCGGGGGAUAACUAUUGGAAACGAUAGCUAAUACCGCAUAACAAUGGAUGACACAUGUCAUUUAUUUGAAAGGGGCAAUUGCUCCACUACAAGAUGGACCUGCGUUGUAUUAGCUAGUAGGUGAGGUAACGGCUCACCUAGGCGACGAUACAUAGCCGACCUGAGAGGGUGAUCGGCCACACUGGGACUGAGACACAGCCCAGACUCCUACGGAAGGCAGCAGUAGGGAAUCUUCGGAAAUGAGGGCAACCCUGACCGAGCAACGCCGCGUGAGUGAAGAAGGUUUUCGGAUCGUAAAGCUCUGUUGUAAGUCAAGAACGGAUGUGAGAGUGGAAAGUUCACACUGUGACGGUAGCUUACCAGAAAGGGACGGCUAACUACGUG